AGUGAACGCUGGCGGUAGGCCUAACACAUGCAAGUCGAACGGCAGCACAGUAAGAGCUUGCUCUUACGGGUGGCGGGUGGCGGACGGGUGAGGAAUACAUCGGAAUCUACUUUUUCGUGGGGGAUAACGUAGGGAAACUUACGCUAAUACCGCAUACGACCUACGGGUGAAAGCAGGGGAUCUUCGGACCUUGCGCGAUUGAAUGAGCCGAUGUCGGAUUAGCUAGUUGGCGGGGUAAAGGCCCACCAAGGCGACGAUCCGUAGCUGGUCUGAGAGGAUGAUCAGCCACACUGGAACUGAGACACGGUCCAGACUCCUACGGGAGGCAGCAGUGGGGAAUAUUGGACAAUGGGCGCAAGCCUGAUCCAGCCAUACCGCGUGGGUGAAGAAGGCCUUCGGGUUGUAAAGCCCUUUUGUUGGGAAAGAAAAGCAGCAGGUUAAUACCCCGCCGUUCUGACGGUACCCAAAGAAUAAGCACCGGCUAACUUCGUG
rnacentral:rRNA from 1 species